rnacentral:rRNA from 1 species
GACGAACGCUGGCGGCGUGCUUAACACAUGCAAGUCGAACGGAAAGGCCCUGCUUUUGUGGGGUGCUCGAGUGGCGAACGGGUGAGUAACACGUGAGUAACCUGCCCUUGACUUUGGGAUAACUUCAGGAAACUGGGGCUAAUACCGGAUAGGAGCUCCUGCUGCAUGGUGGGGGUUGGAACGUUGCGGCGGUUGGGGAUGGACUCGCGGGUUAUCAGCUUGUUGGUGGGGUAGUGGCUUACCAAGGCUUUGACGGGUAGCCGGCCUGAGAGGGUGACCGGCGACAUGGGGACUGAGAGAGGGCGCAGACGCGUACGGGAGGCAGCAGUGGGGAAUAUUGCACAAUGGGCGGAAGCCUGAUGCAGCAACGCCGCGUGCGGGAUGACGGCCUUCGGGGUGUGAACCGCUUUCGCCUGUGACGAAGCGUGAGUGACGGUAAUGGGUAAAGAAGCACCGGCUAACUACGUG